rnacentral:misc_RNA from 1 species
GGAAGUAAAAGUCAUAACAAGGUUUCCGUAGGUGAACCUGCGGAAGGAUCAUUACAGAGUUCAUGCCCUCACGGGUAGAUCUCCCACCCUUGAAUAUUUAUACCUUAGUUGCUUUGGCAGGCCGUGGAAACACCAUGGGCUCCGGCUUAUGCGUGCCUGCCAGAGGAAACAAACUCUGUUUUUUAGUGAUGUCUGAGUACUAUAUAAUAGUUAAAACUUUCAACAACGGAUCUCUUGGUUCUG